rnacentral:rRNA from 1 species
CCUACGGGUGGCAGCAGUGGGGAAUAUUGCACAAUGGGGGAAACCCUGAUGCAGCAACGCCGCGUGAAGGAAGACGGUUUUCGGAUUGUAAACUUCUAUCAAUAGGGGAGAAAGAAAUGACGGUACCUAAAUAAGAAGCCCCGGCUAACUACGUGCCAGCAGCAGCGGUGAUACGGAGGGGGCAAGCGUUAUCCAGAAUUACUGGGUGUAAAGGGGGAGUAGGCGGCAAGGUAAGCGAUAUGUGAAAGCCUUAAGCUUAACUUAAGGAUGGCAUAACGAACUAUCUAGCUAGAGUACAGGAGAGGAAAGCGGAAUGCCUAGUGUAGCGGUGAAAUGCGUAGAUAUUAGGAAGAACACCAGUGGCGAAGGCGGCUUUCUGGACUGAAACUGACGCUGAGGCUCGAAAGCGUGGGGAGCGAACAGGAUUAGAUACCCCUGUAGUC